GAUGAACGCUGGCGGCGUGCCUAAUACAUGCAAGUCGAGCGAACAGACGAGGAGCUUGCUCCUCUGACGUUAGCGGCGGACGGGUGAGUAACACGUGGAUAACCUACCUAUAAGACUGGGAUAACUUCGGGAAACCGGAGCUAAUACCGGAUAAUAUAUUGAACCGCAUGGUUCAAUAGUGAAAGACGGUUUUGCUGUCACUUAUAGAUGGAUCCGCGCCGCAUUAGCUAGUUGGUAAGGUAACGGCUUACCAAGGCAACGAUGCGUAGCCGACCUGAGAGGCUGAUCGGCCAAACUGGAACGGAGACACGGUCCAGACUCCUACGGGAGGCAGCAGUAGGGAAUCUUCCGCGAUGGGCGAAAGCUUGACGGAGCAACGCCGCGUGAGUGAUGAAGGUCUUCGGAUCGUAAAACUCUGUUAUUAGGGAAGAACAAAUGUGUAAGUAACUAUGCACGUCUUGACGGUACCUAAUCAGAAAGCCUCGGCUAACUACGUG
rnacentral:rRNA from 1 species